UUGGUCGCGGGUCUCCUCCCGAACCGCGACUAAGGACCCCUUUGGUCGCGGUUCGAUUAUUUUGAGGACUAAUGGGGGCGUAUGGAAGCCUCUUUUUCUACUAGUGUGUUUUAUAAUCAUAGAGCAUAGUGCCAUUCUUUCGAAUUUCCUAGGGUAUGCUGAUCACUAAAUAGCAGUAGCUUAGCUCCAGCUUGUUGAUGACAUAGCAUUCUCCUUGUUAUUAGCUUUUGCUCUGUGGAGUUGAAGAUAACCUUCAAGUUCUAUACAAGGAUCUCCUCACAAGAACAGAUGUAAAAAAAGAUUGAUUUCUUUAUUGCCUACAAGUGUUUGCCUGUGAGGUGUGAGCUACAGGAAUUUAGUGCAUGCAAAGCCAUCGUUUUUCUUUGCCUACAUGUGUUUGUAUAUGAGUGAAGUUAUCCAUUUGCACCUAUUGUUGUUGUGCUACCUCCACAUGUCCCAUUGAAAAGAGUGUUGCUUGGAGUUCUAGUCUCCCUCAGAUCCCCUAAUUAUUUGUUGGUUUGAUUUGGAGCAACUGGCGCCCUCCAUGGACGACAUAGACGAGGAACAUGUCGGACCACACCCCCAAGCUGUAGAGCUUGGCGAGGACAUCAUCAGGUCGUACCUCAAUCUCGAGGCGACCGCGAUGCUGGCUCCGUGCACAAGCAUUCAAGGAUCCGAUCUGCUUGACAUGGAGAAGCUGCUGCUGGGAGAGGAGGACGGUGAUGCGCGUGGUUGCUCUAACCCCGCUACUGCCGAUGCCAUGAAAGGUAUGGGCUUGGAGUCACAGCCACUGGAGGGUGAGGAGAUUAAUUCGUGUUUGGGAGGUUGAAACUGGUUGCACUUUUAAGGUUGUCAAUGAUGGUGCUGAUUUGCAUCAUGUCUUGUGGAAUCAUUCACCUGAUAGGGCUGCAGAUCCAUGGCUUGCUGGAGCCAUCCAUAUCUGGCGUCCUCCUCGCUGCCGUCUACAGCUCCCUAUGCCGCUGCGUCUACUUCCACGUGGUAGUUGAUAUGGCGCCCAAGACGUUUUCACCCCCUUAUCUCCUCCCCUCAUGCAUGAGGCCAUGCCAGAGGAGGUGUGUGUGGAUGGACGAGCUGACUGAUGGUUGCCUCCUCCUGACGCCGCCAGGCCAGAGUUGGUGUAGGAGCUCUUCGCCCCUGACUCAUGGCGUCUCCCUCCCUCCUUUUCUGCAAGUGAGGUACCCCCUACCCGUGGCAUCUUUUUUUUUUAUGCCACGAGAUUUAAUUCUAGAUGAAUGUUUAGUUAUUCAACCUGCUUGAAGUCUAAACCUUCUGUGUCUUUAUUUUUGUACCUCAAAGUAUGCUCAACUUCUUUGGAAAGUAACUGCUGUUGUAGUG